rnacentral:rRNA from 1 species
GACGAACGCUGGCGGCGUGCCUAAUACAUGCAAGUCGAACGAAGCUGUUUUAACUGGUGCUUGCACCGACUUAAACAACUGAGUGGCGAACGGGUGAGUAACACGUGGGUAACCUGCCCCAAAGCGGGGGAUAACAUUUGGAAACAGAUGCUAAUACCGCAUAAUCACGGAAACCACAUGGUUUCUGUGUCAAAGAUGGUUUCGGCUAUCACUUUGGGAUGGACCCGCGGCGUAUUAGCUAGUUGGUAAGGUAAUGGCUUACCAAGGCAAUGAUACGUAGCCGAACUUAGAGGUCGGACGGCCACAUUGGGACUGAGACACGGCCCAAACUCCUACGGGAGGCAGCAGUAGGGAAUCUUCCACGAUGGACGAAAGUCUGAUGGAGCAGCGCCGCGUGAGUGAAGAAGGUUUUCGGCUCGUAAAACUCUGUUGUCAGAGAAGAACGUGUGCGAGAGUAACUGUUCGUGCAGUGACGGUAUCUGGCCAGAAAGCCACGGCUAACUACGUGCCAGCCGCCGCCGUAA